GCAGGCUGCAACUCGCCUGCAUGAAGUCGGAAUUGCUAGUAAUCGCAGAUCAGCAUGCUGCGGUGAAUACGUUCCCGGGCCUUGUACACACCCGCCCGUCACACCAUGGGAGUCGGUAACACCCGAAGUCGGUAGUCUAACCGAAAGGAGGACGCCGCCGAAGGUGGGAUUGAUGACUGGGGUGAAGUCGUAACAAGGUAAC
rnacentral:rRNA from 1 species